UUCCAUGUCAGACAAGAUGUUUCUAAUGGGC
rnacentral:piRNA from 1 species